UACGGGAGGCAGCAGUGGGGAAUAUUGGACAAUGGGCGAAAGCCUGAUCCAGCAAUGCCGCGUGAGUGAAGAAGGCCUUCGGGUUGUAAAGCUCUUUUACCCGGGAUGAUAAUGACAGUACCGGGAGAAUAAGCACCGGCUAACUCUGUGCCAGCAGCCGCGGUAAUACAGAGGGUGCGAGUGUUAAUCGGAAUUACUGGGCGUAAAGCGUGCGUAGACGGUUAUUUAAGUCGGGUGUGAAAGCCCCGGGCUCAACCUGGGAAUUGCAUUCGAGACUGAAUAGCUAGGGUACGGUAGAGGGAAGUGGAAUUUCCGGUGUAGCGGUGAAAUGCGUAGGUAUCGGAAGAACACCAGUGGCGAAGGCGACUCACUGGACGACUGUUGACGCUGAGGUACGAAAGCGUGGGGAGCAAACAGGAUUAGAUACCCUGGUAG
rnacentral:rRNA from 1 species